GAUGAAGAACGUAGCGAAAUGCGAUAAGUAAUGUGAAUUGCAGAAUUCAGUGAAUCAUCGAAUCUUUGAACGCACCUUGCGCUCUUUGGUAUUCCGAAGAGCAUGCCUGUUUGAGUGUCAUGAAAAUAUCAACCUUGACUUGGGUUUUGUGCUCUAGUCUCGGCUUGGAAUUGGGUGCUUGCCGCUUUUACGAGCGGCUCACCUUAAAUGUAUUAGCUGGAUCUGUCUUUGAGACUUGGUUUGACUUGGCGUAAUAAGUAUUUCGCUAAGGACAUUCUUCGGAGUGGCCUCGUUUCUAGGACGCUUGUCCGCUUUCCAAUACAAGUUCCACCUCAUGGACAUGACUUUUUAUUAUCUGGCCUCAAAUCAGGUAGGACUACCCGCUGAACUUAAGCAUAUCAAUAAGCGGAGGA
rnacentral:misc_RNA from 1 species